AACGUAGGUGGCAAGCGUUAUCCGGAUUUACUGGGCGUAAAGGGUGUGCAGGCGGGGGUGCAAGUGGGGUAUGAAAUCUCCCGGCUUAACCGGGAGGGGUUAUGCCAGACUGCAAUUCUAGAGGACGAGAGAGGGGGGUGGAAUUCCGGGUGUAGUGGUGAAAUGCGUAGAGAUCCGGAGGAACCCCAGAGGCGAAGGCGGCCCCCUGGCUCGUACCUGACGCUCAGACACGAAAGCAUGGGGAGCGAACGGG
rnacentral:rRNA from 1 species